rnacentral:rRNA from 1 species
UACGGAGGGUGCAAGCGUUAAUCGGAUUUACUGGGCGUAAGGGGUGCGUAGGCUGGGAUGUAAGUCAGACGUGAAAUUCCGAGGCUCAACCUCGGAGCGGCAUCUGAAACCACAUUUCUAGCGGAAUGGCGGAGAAAACGGAAUUCCACGUGUAGCGGUGAAAUGCGUAGAUAUGUGGAGGAACACCGGUGGCGAAGGCGAUUUUCUAGCUUAGACCUGACGCUGAGGCGCGAAAGUAAGGGGAGCAAACAGG